AAAGAACGCAGAUGGUGCAUCCAAUUGUCUGGAACCAUUGCCAGAUGAUAUCAUUGUUGCAAAUGAAGAAAACAAUGAUGUUUCAAAAGAGAUAACAAUCGUCAGCGAGGAGAGUUGAAUGUUGAUGGACUUAUUAUUCAAGAAGUUUGAGAAUGCAACGUGAAACAGCUCAUGCUUUCGAGAGCUCCCGUUCCAGGAGAUCAUCUCCUUCAUUAUAAUGAUUAGUAUAUGAUUGAGGGAAAAUCUAUAAGUUAGUGAUAUAGGUGAAAUUAGUUUGUAUGAGAAGACAUAACUUUAAAACUGAUGAUACCUUAGUGAUUUGUCUGUAUUGUAUGUAUGAAAUUGAGAAGAUGCACUCAUCAGUGGCUGUGCUGUUGAGAAAGUUUUU
rnacentral:misc_RNA from 1 species